UACGUAGGGUGCAAACGUUGUUCGGAAUCACUGGGCGUAAAGCGUGCGCAGGCGGUUUUGUAAGCCAGAUGUGAAAUCCCCGGGCUUAACCUGGGAAUGGCAUUUGGGACUGCAAGGCUGGAGUUUGGCAGAGGAGACUGGAAUUCCCGGUGUAGCAGUGAAAUGCGUAGAUAUCGGGAGGAAUACCGAUGGCGAAGGCAGGUCUCUGGGCUAUAACUGACGCUCAUGCACGAAAGCGUGGGGAGCAAACAGG
rnacentral:rRNA from 1 species